rnacentral:rRNA from 1 species
GACGAACGCUGGCGGCGUGCUUAACACAUGCAAGUCGAACGGUGAAGCCCUUCGGGGUGGAUCAGUGGCGAACGGGUGAGUAACACGUGAGCAACCUGCCCCUGGCUCUGGGACAACCACUGGAAACGGUGGCUAAUACCGGAUACGACCCGCCUCGGCAUCGAGUGUGGGUGGAAAGUUUUUCGGCUGGGGAUGGGCUCGCGGCCUAUCAGCUUGUUGGUGAGGUGAAGGCUCACCAAGGCGACGACGGGUAGCCGGCCUGAGGGCGACCGGCCACACUGGGACUGAGACACGGCCCAGACUCCUACGGGAGGCAGCAGUGGGGAAUAUUGCACAAUGGGCGAAAGCCUGAUGCAGCGACGCCGCGUGAGGGAUGACGGCCUUCGGGUUGUAAACCUCUUUCAGCUCCGAAGAAGCGAAAGUGACGGUAGGAGCAGAAGAAGCACCGGCUAACUACGUG